rnacentral:lncRNA from 1 species
AAACUUAUCGGCACGAUACGUGUCAGACCGUAUCGAUGUGUGUUGGUCAUAAAAAAUAUAUAUGUGCGGACAUGUAAUGACAUGAUAAAUAUGCCAAUUAUUUAUUAUGUAUUUUUAUCAAAUUUUUAAAAUUUUAUUGAAAAAUUACUUACUAAUUUAAAACAUAGAGUGCUGAAUUCUGCCAUCUGCACGGGACUGUACUGUGCCGAUAUUUUGCUGAUACGAUACGGUACGGUAGAUAUAGUCCAUGCCGAUGGGCACUUAAAUCCUUACUAUCUUGAUUAAUUAGAUGAAAGGUUAGAUAGCAUGCAUAUGCUACUGAUCAU